GAAACUGGAUAUUCAUCACACCCAAGAUUACUGCCCCCUUUUUAGACCCGACCCGAAAUACCGACACGUUGACCUGUAGAAUUGGAAACGGGUUAUACAGUAACCGUUUCCAUUUUAAUCGGAUAAUACCCGAAACCCAUUUCCUACACACAAAUGUGCACCGUGCAGUGCAGCUCGCAGUGAUUCUUUCCGUCGCCGACCUUGCUCUGUUGCUCAAAAACUCUCCCUCAUCAUUCUCAAGUCUCCACUAGAUUUUCGGAAUCAUCUAUAGAUCCAAUUUCAUCUGAAUGAUGUUGAAGGUUGAGGCUUUCUUGUAAAUCUAACAUCUAAGGUCCAGGAUUCCUUCAAAUUCUUUUCUGGGAAUUAACAUCUAAGAGAUAACUUUGAAGAAUAUUUUGAAUGAGGUCGAUUGAAGAUUCUUUGAAGAAUACACAAUUCUUUGGAAGAUAAUGUAAUAGAAGAUGUAAUAGAAGAUGAUGAAAGCUAUAAGUUAGAAACCGAGAUAACUUUGAAGAAUAUUUUGAAUGAGGUCGAUCGAAGAUUUUUUGAAGAAUACACAAUUCUUUGGGAGUAGGACCUAUGGAUACAAAAGCUGUUUGUGUAUUUUAAAAAUUAAACAGGACCUAUGGAUUUUUUGUUUAGUGUGAUUACUAAAAGUACAUUUAUACAACAUUAUUGGUUUAUUAAAUGAAUAGUAUACAUGAACAUUAUUGGUUUA